CGCAGUUGUACAGUGGGCAGGACGUUCGCUCGCAACGACGCAACCGCGAACGAACUUGUGAACAAUCCAUAUACUGUGUUUUGUGUAGUGCAUCGAGCUUAACAAGGAUUUGUGUGAAAUAAGUGUCGUGUUAACAAAACAAAGGCGGACGGGAAUUCAGGAAAUUUAAAGACUUUUCCCGGAAACAUUUUUAUCAUCUCCGUAAAGAUAGACACGAAAAUUCCUCGACAAUGGAGCCCCGUUUCGACAACAUCACGGAGCGAGCGAAACGCGCACCGCCCAUCCUAAGCGACUCUUAUGUGUACAGUUGAAGCAGCGAUGGUGAAAUAGUGUAGUGUACAAUGAGCUUAUAAGUGUAUAACGAGUGACGU